rnacentral:rRNA from 1 species
AGUGAACGCUGGCGGUAGGCCUAACACAUGCAAGUCGAACGGCAGCACAGUAAGAGCUUGCUCUUACGGGUGGCGAGUGGCGGACGGGUGAGGAAUACAUCGGAAUCUACUUUUUCGUGGGGGAUAACGUAGGGAAACUUACGCUAAUACCGCAUACGACCUACGGGUGAAAGCAGGGGACCUUCGGACCUUGCGCGAUUGAAUGAGCCGAUGUCGGAUUAGCUAGUUGGCGGGGUAAAGGCCCACCAAGGCGACGAUCCGUAGCUGGUCGGAGAGGAGGAGCAGGCACACGAGAACUGAAACACGGCCCAGACUGGUACGGGAGGGAGCAGGGUGGAACAUGGGAUAAUGGGCGAAAGCCUAAUCCACCAAUGCCGCGUGAGGUAUUAAGACCGUAGAGAAGGAAAGCGCGUUGACCCGGGAGGAGAAUGACGGGACCGUGAGAAUAAGCGCCGGCUAACUCCGUG